rnacentral:rRNA from 1 species
UACAGAGGUGCCAAGCGUUAGGCGGAAUCACUGGGCUUAAAGCGCGUGUAGGUGGACGGGUAAGUAUCUUGUGAAAUCCCACGGCUCAACCGUGGAACUGCUGGAUAUACUGCUUGUCUUGAGGCACUUAGGGGCAGCUGGAACAAAUGGUGGAGCGGUGAAAUGCGUAGAUAUCAUUUGGAACGCCAAAGGCGAAAGCAGGCUGCUGGGAGUGAUCUGACACUGAGACGCGAAAGCCAGGGGAGCAAACGGG